GGCUUGAUGAUUAGAACAUAAUGUCUCAGAGAAAAACUAAUGACUUGAAAACCAUGUUCAAUAGGAUUAUACUGAGGCCC
ensembl:snoRNA SNORD115 Small nucleolar RNA SNORD115